CGAGAGGACACAUCCCUGAGGUGCUCCUGUGUUGAUGGUGAUGCUGUUGGAGAAGCACCUGCCCACCCUCACCACCUGAGUUCUGCCAGUGAGGAAGUCCAACACCCACUCUUCAUGCAGAGGCAGCAGGAGGCGCCUGAUAUCAACGUGAAACGCACUGCAGUACUUCAUGCCCUUCCUGUAUACCUGCGGGAGGAGGACCCAGAAUUCUUUUAGACAUGUAAUGCGGACGCAUUGGAUGAGUCGACCCUCAUUGACACUUCAGUUGCCCUUCUCACAGUGGUUACCGAUGGCGCUUCCCAGUCCAGUCCAUUUUACUUCCUCAAGCAUGGCUGUUUUGGUGAAAGGCGACUAGGUGAUGCGUGAUAUUCCCAGAUUUGCAAAUGCAUUUGCUUUAUUGUUUGGCUUGAUCUAUGCUCUGCAUUUAGACUACCCCAGGAAGCUGGUUCACACAUUUGCCUUAGUCCAAAAUAUCUUCAUGGGGCUUGAUGACGGCAAACCCCUGAAACCCCUGCCUACAUGCUCUUAAGGAAUAUAAGGCAAUGUUUGUUAGGACACGCACUCUGUUACUGAGCACUUUGUUUGAAGCAUUUUAAGCACUUUAAGUUUACUACAGGCUUUGAGUGGAUUUAACUCCAUCAGUUUACCUAAUUUUCCUAUACUUGACUGCCUUAUCUGGUUAUUUGGAAGCUGAUCGUCUUUGUACCCAUUUUAAAAAAAUGUUUUUCAUUUCUAUUUUAAAAAAAGUGAUUAGUAUUUGACUUUUUGUUUUGCAUUUUUGUGUAUUUUGAGAAAGAUGCAAUUAGGACUGAUGUCGUCCUUUGUGAUUUUAUAAAAAGAUAAAUGUUCUACACAGAAUUUAUAAUGCUCACUUUAUGGUGCCGAUGUCCAUGUUAGUUGUUUUAUAAAAACAUUUGUGAUGUUUUUAAAUUUUCAUGAAAAAAUGUUAAAUAAACAAAAUGUAAAGUAACUGAAUUUCCGUGCUUUUUUUUUUUUUUAGUAGUCUACACUCA
ensembl:lncRNA